rnacentral:rRNA from 1 species
GUGGGGAAUAUUGGACAAUGGGCGAAAGCCUGAUCCAGCCAUGCUGCGUGUGUGAAGAAGGUCUUCGGAUUGUAAAGCACUUUAAGUUGGGAGGAAGGGCAGUAAGUUAAUACCUUGCUGUUUUGACGUUACCGACAGAAUAAGCACCGGCUAACUUCGUGCCAGCAGCCGCGGUAAUACGAAGGGUGCAAGCGUUAAUCGGAAUUACUGGGCGUAAAGCGCGCGUAGGUGGUUUUGUAAGUUGGAGGUGAAAUCCCCGGGCUCAACCUGGGAACUGCCUCCAAAACUGCAUGACUAGAGUACGGUAGAGGGUAGUGGAAUUUCCUGUGUAGCGGUGAAAUGCGUAGAUAUAGGAAGGAACACCAGUGGCGAAGGCGAAUACCUGGACUGAUACUGACACUGAGGUGCGAAAGCGUGGGGAGCAAACAGGAUUAGAUACCCGAGUAGUCC